GUGCUUGCUUCAACAGCAUAUAUUCUAAAAUCGGAUGGGUACAGACAUUAGGACGGCCCCUGUGCAAAGAUGACACACGAAUUCGUGAAGUUUCCCAUAUUUUU
ensembl:snRNA U6 U6 spliceosomal RNA